AUAUUGGCCAGAUAAAGCAGUUGUAGCCACAUGAAAAUGUUCUAAAAAAUCUAAAAGAAUUUUAACGUUAGUCCAAUCUUGAUUAGUUAGCAUGUCACUAUCUUCCUCCCUCCAAUCCCGAGAAUUAUAAGUAGUGUUAGUUGGGUUUCUAUAUUCGUAUGCCACUACUAAACUUUCGUACAUGUAGUUCCACCUAGUCGGGCAAGGUUUAGGAACCUUUCUUUCUCUAAGGCCAUAUUCGUCACAUUUUUUA
rnacentral:lncRNA from 1 species